UGCAACCUGAGCUCAGUCGUGAUUACCCGCUGAACUUAAGCAUAU
rnacentral:rRNA from 1 species